AGCACAUGACCACAACGUGUUUAUCACUUUGCAAACGGACAGUUGGCAAGAAUUUGUACCCAUGCGAGAGAGUAAAGUACAC
ensembl:ncRNA W07E11.7 ncRNA